AUAUUUUCCUGGCAGGGAAGAUGCCAUCAUCACGAAGGUGGUUUUCCCAAGGUGAGGGUCAUCCAUUGCACUCUGGAUGUGCUGACCCCUGCCAUUUCCCCAAAUGUGGGAAACUCGACUACAUAAUUUGUGGUAGUGAGGGACUGCGUUCACACUUUCCCCUG
rnacentral:snRNA from 1 species